GCAAUGGUAGUUCAGUGAUAGAAUUCUUGCCUUUCACGUAGGAGACCGAGGUUUGAUUCCCAGCCAAGGCA
rnacentral:tRNA from 1 species